AGGCAGUUUCAGUCUUUCUCUAUCUACUUUCCCCAUGCCUUGUAUCAUGAUAGACGUUUAUAAAAAAAAAUAAAAAUGAUACAAGGCAUGGGGAAAGUAGAUAGAGAAAGACUGAAACUGCCU